rnacentral:rRNA from 1 species
UACGAAGGGGGCUAGCGUUGCUCGGAAUUACUGGGCGUAAAGGGCGCGUAGGCGGCGCAUUUAGUCAGGCGUGAAAGCCCUGGGCUCAACCUGGGGACUGCGCUUGAUACGGGUGUGCUAGAGGACGGAAGAGGGUCGCGGAAUUCCCAGUGUAGAGGUGAAAUUCGUAGAUAUUGGGAAGAACACCGGUGGCGAAGGCGGCGACCUGGUCCGUUACUGACGCUGAGGCGCGACAGCGUGGGGAGCAAACAGG